rnacentral:piRNA from 1 species
UCACAGUGCUGCGUGGUAGUCAAGAG